GGUCCCAUCGUCUAACGGUUAGGACAUCAGGUUUUCAUCCUGGAAAUCGGGGUUCGAUUCCCCGUGGGAUCA
rnacentral:tRNA from 1 species